CCGUAGGUGAACCUGCGGAAGGAUCAUUAUCGAAAUAAACCUGAGCAGGCUGUUUGCUGGUCCCUCUCCAGGGGACAUGUGCACGCUUGUCGUCUUUAUUUUUCCAACUGUGCACAUACUGUAGACCAGGAGUUUUUCUUAUCGUUCGAAUAGAUUGAGGACUGCCGCGUGCGGCUUUGCCUUGUAUUUUCCUGGUCUAUGUUGUAAUACAUUUUCACAACCUGUUUCAGAAUGUCGAGUACUGGGGAUAACAAAUAUACAACUUUCAGCAACGGAUCUCUUGGCUCUCGCAUCGAUGAAGAACGCAGCGAAAUGCGAUAAGUAAUGUGAAUUGCAGAAUUCAGUGAAUCAUCGAAUCUUUGAACGCAUCUUGCGCUCCUUGGUAUUCCGAGGAGCAUGCCUGUUCGAGUGUCAUCAAAAGUUCUCAACCACACCUGGUGUGGCUUGGAUUUGGGGGUGCAGGCUUUUGAGUCGGCUCCCCUGAAAAGGAUUAGUGGUAUCUAAGCAGAAACUACUGUCGGGCGUGAUAAUUAUCUAUGCCUCAGUGUGCAUGAACCGCUUCUAACCGAGUGUUGACAAGUUUGACCUCGAAUCAGGUAGGACUACCCGCUGAACUUAAGCAUAUCAAUAAGCGGAGGAA
rnacentral:rRNA from 1 species